rfam:Brachypodium distachyon strain Bd21 chromosome 3, whole genome shotgun sequence.
AUUGUACUCCCUCCGUUCCAUAAUUCUUGUCGAAAUAUUACAUGUAUCUAGACGCUUUUUAGGAAUAGGUACAUCCAUUUUGGGGCAAAUUUGAGACAAGAAUUGUGGAACGGAAGGAGUAACAU